rnacentral:tRNA from 2 species
ACCUGUGUAGCUCAGUUGGUAGAGCGGAGGACUGUAGAUCCUUAGGUCGCUGGUUCGAAUCCGGCUCGACGGAUU